UACGUAGGGGGCAAGCGUUGUCCGGAUUUACUGGGUGUAAAGGGCGCGUAGGCGGGCUAAUAAGUCAGAGGUGAAAUCCUGCAGCUUAACUGCAGAACUGCCUUUGAUACUGUUAGUCUUGAGUUCGAAAGAGAGAGAUGGAAUUCCGGGUGUAGUAGUGAAAUACGUAGAUAUCCGGAGGAACACCGGAGGCGAAGGCGAUCUCUUGGUUCGAUACUGACGCUGAGGCGCGAAAGCGUGGGGAUCAAACAGGAUUAGAUACCCUGGUAGUCCACGCUGUAAACGAUGAAUACUAGGUGUUGGGAAAUAAUCUCAGUGCCGCAGCAAACGCAUUAAGUAUUCCACCUGGGGAGUACGAUCGCAAGGUUGAA
rnacentral:rRNA from 1 species